GGGUCAGUAGGUUGGUCAUGCCACUGGUAUGAACUGGUCUCACUGAUUCCUCCUUCCUGAUGAACUGUAAUGCCAUUAAUUUGGUGCUGCAGGGAAUCUGGACUGUUACUUUGAAAAAAUUAGAGUGUUUAAAGCAGGCUCACGCUUGAAUACAUUAGCAUGGAAUAAUGAAAUAGGACGUUUGAUUCUAUUUUGUUGGUUUCUAGGAUCAAUGUA
rnacentral:rRNA from 1 species